rnacentral:rRNA from 1 species
GACGGAGGAUGCAAGUGUUAUCCGGAAUCACUGGGCGUAAAGCGUCUGUAGGUGGUUUAAUAAGUCAACUGUUAAAUCUUGAGGCUCAACCUCAAAAUCGCAGUCGAAACUAUUAGGCUAGAGUAUAGUAGGGGUAAAGGGAAUUUCCAGUGGAGCGGUGAAAUGCGUAGAGAUUGGAAAGAACACCGAUGGCGAAGGCACUUUACUGGGCUAUUACUAACACUCAGAGACGAAAGCGAGGGUAGCAAAUGGG